AAAACGACUCUCGGCAACGGAUAUCUCGGCUCUCGCAUCCAUGAAGAACGUAGCGAAAUGCGAUACUUGGUGUGAAUUGCAGAAUCCCGUGAACCAUCAAGUCUUUGAACGCAAGUUGCGCCCGAAGCCAUUAGGCCGAGGGCACGUCUGCCUGGGCGUCACAC
rnacentral:rRNA from 1 species